rnacentral:lncRNA from 1 species
UUUUGUUUUCCAAUUUGUCAAAAUUUAUUUUGGUAGUUUUUUUAAAGAAUGGGAAAUCACAUGUAUUCCGUGGUUCAGCCCCACUUCAUAUCAUUUGAACAUUUUGCUGUUUUCAGCAGUAGAACAGUCCCAGGAUGAUUACAUAAAUGAUAUGACCAAUUCUUAGUAAAACUAGACAUCCUGACGUUCACAUUAACAAUUUUCAGACGUUCCUCAAGUUGUGAGAGGUCUUUGAAGUGUCUGAGGCGCUGAAUGAUAGGCCUGUCAACUCGCAGACAUGUCAGCUUAACAGGAGAAAAACGGCUUCCAUGCACGCAGACCCUCUACAGAAGAAUGGCAUUAAAAGCAAAACCAAUAAAAAGCCAUCUAUCUUUGCAUGGAACAACUCUAGUGCUUUCACCUAGUAUCAUAGAUUUACUGUGCAGAUUCCUCCUCAGGGCUGAGGCCCUCAUUUCUCCACUGACUACAAAAUGUGACUGUUGAUAACCCACAGCUGAAUCUCACUUCAAUAAUUUACCUCAGCACAGAGAAAAUGCUUUAGUCGUGGUUCAGGUCUUCAGUCCUCAUUCAAAUGCCUGGUCAAUGAAGAGAUACAAAAUCUGGCUCUCCUUAUUCCAAUUUGGGAUAUCACUGAAGGACGAGCCCAGGUACAGUAUUAUCAUGUGAUCUGCUGGGUGCUUGUUGUAACCAAAUUGCAGCUCAAUUUCUUGUUCUUUCCAAUUCUGCUUCCCUCAAUCUUUACAGUUACAAUAUCUCUAACUCUCCCUCAUAAACUACCUGCCCUCGAAUAUAUGUCUCAGUGUCUGUUUUUUGAAGAGCCCAAGUUCUAACAGAUCUCCUGCUGUUUCUUGACAUUAUAUGUAAAAACCUAUAAAAGAAAAUAUAUGUUGCAGAAAUUUCCAAUAAUCUAAUUCUGUGAUGAUUUAUCAGAAACAUGCUAGUUGUUUUUAAAGAUAUUUCUACUUCAAGUAAGUUUUAAUAAUUCUGAAUUCAAUAAUAAUUAGAUAUUAUAGAUAGGAUUUUAAAAAACAUUUUUCCUCUGUAAAAUCAGUUGAUUAAUAUCUAUUAAUAGCUUUGGAAAAAUGAAAAAAAAAAAAAAAAAAAGCACAUCUCUUCCUAAAGUUUUUACUGUAUUUCCAUGCUCAUUUUACAAGUAUGAAAAAAUUAGAGCUAAAAUA